AGCCUGGAGUCAGGGGAGCCUGGGGACCACGGCCUUGGUCAGCUCUGCACGAUCAGGGCUGAAUCAGGAAGUGGCAGAUCUAGCAACAAAGUCCAGAUUCCUGACCGAUAUUCCUUCUCCACAUGCCAGUCCUUUUCCAAAUCCCCUCACCUUAAAGUGACAAAUGAGCUUUUUAGUGAAAAAGAAUGAGCGCUGCAUUCUUCUACCAAUUUUUUGGAGCCCAGAAUGGGGGGGAAAAAAGUCUUCUUAAUUUUUCUUAAUACCUACCAUGUCCCUUCUUAAAUAACUCAAGAGCUUCUGGAUGAUAAUGGUGACUUUAUCUCCUUUUCCUGCAGAUGACAUAGACACUAGGUUUUUACAGCAAUUCUCUGAUGACCUUGAUAUGGUAGAACGCUGUGUAUUUCAAGAGUAAGCUCUCGUUUGAGGAGACUAACAAUUCCUGUUUUCGCCAGAUUUCUUCUUGAAUGGCAACCUAAAUGCCAGUCCAAAGAGGCCCCCAAUAGACUUGUUCACCCUUCAUGUCCUCAACUCUGGGGAAGUU
rnacentral:lncRNA from 10 species